GAGCUGGGCCAGAUGGGCUGGAGGAUGACCCUAUCGGGGGUCUGGGCCCCCCCUCCCCACCUUGAUGCUUGAAGUCUGGCUCUCCCCAGAGAAGGCCCAUCCUGACAGCGUCCUUUGCUGCCUGCCUCUUGGGCCUGGAGUGAGCCCGUCAUCAGGACAGCCUCCCUUGCAGAGCAUUCACCCUGGGCCAAUCGUGCUCUUGAGCUGACAGCCUGAGGAAGGCGG
rnacentral:lncRNA from 1 species